CCUACGGGAGGCAGCAGUGAGGAAUCUUGGUCAAUGGACGAGAGUCUGAACCAGCCAAGUAGCGUGAAGGAUGACUGCCCUACGGGUUGUAAACUUCUUUUAUCUGGGACUAAAAUGUUCCACGUGUGGGAUUUUGUAUGUACCAUAUGACUAAGGAUCGGCUAACUCCGUGCCAGCAGCCGCGGUAAUACGGAGGAUCCGAGCGUUAUCCGGAUUUAUUGGGUUUAAAGGGAGCGUAGGUGGAUUGUUAAGUCAGUUGUGAAAGUUUGCGGCUCAACCGUAAAAUUGCAGUUGAAACUGGGAGUCUUGAGUACAGUAGAGGUGGGCGGAAUUCGUGGUGUAGCGGUGAAAUGCGUAGAUAUCACGAAGAACACCGAUUGCGAAGGCAGCUUACUGGACUGCAACUGACACUGAGGCUCGAAAGUGUGGGUAUCAAACAGGAUUAGAUACCCGGGUAGUC
rnacentral:rRNA from 1 species